rnacentral:sRNA from 1 species
UAACGAUUGCUGCUGAUAAUGCUAUUUUUGGACAAACUGGUCCUAAAGUAGGUUCAUUUGAUGCAGGUUAUGGUUCAGGAUAUUUAGCACGUAUCGUUGGACAUAAGAAAGCACGUGAAA